rnacentral:rRNA from 1 species
AUUGAACGCUGGCGGCAGGCUUAACACAUGCAAGUCGAGCGGGGUGAUGGUGCUUGCACUAUCACUUAGCGGCGGACGGGUGAGUAAUGCUUAGGAAUCUGCCUAUUAGUGGGGGACAACAUCUCGAAAGGGAUGCUAAUACCGCAUACGUCCUACGGGAGAAAGCAGGGGAUCACUUGUGACCUUGCGCUAAUAGAUGAGCAUAAGUCGGAUUAGCUAGUUGGUGGGGUAAAGGCCUACCAAGGCGACGAUCUGUAGCGGGUCUGAGAGGAUGAUCCGCCACACUGGGACUGAGACACGGCCCAGACUCCUACGGGAGGCAGCAGUGGGGAAUAUUGGACAAUGGGGGGAACUCUGAUCCAGCCAUGCCGCGUGUGUGAAGAAGGCCUUAUGGUUGUAAAGCACUUUAAGCGAGGAGGAGGCUCUUUUGGUUAAUACCCAAGAUGAGUGGACGUUACUCGCAGAAUAAGCACCGGCUAACUCUGUGCCAGCAGCCGCCGCGG